rnacentral:rRNA from 1 species
UACGUACCGUCCAAACGUUAUUCGGAAUUACUGGGCUUAAAGGGUACGUAGGCGGCGCUGUUAGUCGGGUGUGAAAUCCCAGGGCUCAACCCUGGAACUGCCAUUGAAACUGUUUAGCUGGAGUAUGAGAGAGGUGAGUGGAAUUCCCAGUGUAGAGGUGAAAUUCGUAGAUAUUGGGAAGAACACCGGUGGCGAAGGCGGCUCACUGGCCCGGUACUGACGCUGAGGUGCGAAAGCGUGGGGAGCAAACAGG